AGAUUGAACGCUGGCGGCAGGCCUAACACAUGCAAGUCGAGCGGUAGAGAGGUGCUUGCAUCUCUUGAGAGCGGCGGACGGGUGAGUAAUGCCUAGGAAUCUGCCUAGUGGUGGGGGAUAACGUUCGGAAACGGACGCUAAUACCGCAUACGUCCUACGGGAGAAAGCGGGGGACCUUCGGGCCUCGCGCCAUUAGAUGAGCCUAGGUCGGAUUAGCUAGUUGGUGAGGUAAUGGCUCACCAAGGCGACGAUCCGUAACUGGUCUGAGAGGAUGAUCAGUCACACUGGAACUGAGACACGGUCCAGACUCCUACGGGAGCAGCAGGUGGGAAUAGUUGGACAAGUGGGACGAAAGCCUGAUCCAGCCAUGCCGCGUGUGUGAAGAGUCUUCGGAUUGAAAGCUACGUUUAAGUGGAGGUAAGGUUAGUAACCGUAAGUACGUGUACUAACGUUUGACGUUACCGAUAGAGUAAGCCACCGGCUAACUCGUGACCAG
rnacentral:rRNA from 1 species